GAUCUGUGUGUGUGUGACAGACCAGACACAUCAAGAUGCUUCCUCUGACAUAUCUACUCUGUGUCUUUUAUGUCUACAUCCAAGGAUCCUGUGGACAGAUUGUGAUGACUCAGACUCCGGAUUCUAUCUCUGUGUCCCCGGGACAGACAGUCACCUUCACAUGUACAUCUAGUAAAAAUCUUUAUUACUCUGCAGCAAGUGCUCACUUGAUAGCCUGGUACCAACAGAAAACAGAUCAACCUCCUAAACUCCUCUUGUAUCACACCAGUAGCCGAGCAUCUGGGAUUCCAGAUAGGUUCAGUGGAUCUGGAUCAGGAACUCAAUUCACAAUGACGAUACAGGGAGUGAGUGAAGAGGAUGAAGGACGUUAUUACUGUCAGCAGGCUCGUGAGGACCCUCUCACACAGUGA